AACAAUGGGGUCUACAGUUAAUGGGGUCUUAUAGUUAAGAAGGAAGUUUAAAUUUGCUCUGUUGAUACUUGGUGCCUUUCCUGUGUUUUACUCAUUUGCUUAAAUACUCAAAGAAUUUUCCCACCUCAUAUAAUUCUUCUAAAAAUGAUCUUGCAAACAGAAUAUGUUCUUUAUAUUUACAUUUUAGUGAUUUCAGACCCUGUUUUGAAUUUUGAUCCUGAGCAAUUACCUCAGUGGCCUGACACCUGAACCAUUUUAUUAAACCACAAACCUAUUCAGCCUAACCUGUCAAAGCAAGAUGGAAGCAAAUCCUUGAGUUUCUGUCAGAAAAAGCCUCCUUGCGGUGGAAAUAUUUGCACCACUUUUUACUUCUUUAGCCUCUUUAGAAAACUCUUGACCUCAAUUUUCUCCUUUACAAUUCUGCAGACCACAAGUCCAAACUCAAGGUAUUUGGAGUUUGGACCUUCCCUGUAGAGGCUCUAAAAGAGAAUUAAUUUCUUUGUUUUUUCAGCUUCUGGUGGCUGAAAUAGGUUUGUGGCAACAUCACUCCAAUCCCAGUCUCUGACUUCUUAUUGCCUUCUCCUUUGUAUUCCUCUCAAAUAUCCUUCUGCUUUUGUCUUAAAAGGAUUAUUUGUCACUGUUUUUUUUCCUCAUCUAAAUAAUCCAGAAUGAUUUCCUCAUGUCAGAAUUCUUAACUUGCUUAUAUCUGCAAAGAUCUUUUUUUCCAAAUAAAUUAACAUUCAUAGGUUCUAGGAAUUAAAAUGUGAACAUAUUGUGCUGGGGUUAUCACUCAAGCUAAUACAAGGAGCCACAAUUCAGACCAGGCAAUCUUGUUUCAGUGACUAUAAGGUAUAACAAAUGAAUUAAGGUGACAUUGAAAAAUCUAAACUUAAAGCGAAUUAUUUCUAUUUUUAUAUUUUUCCUUAUACUUUUCACAGAGUGCAUACGAAGACAUUCCAGAUAAUAUAGUCUCAUGUAUAUGUUAGUUAAAUUGCAAUAAGCAAAGCAUCAUAACCCCAAAUUAUGCUGUAUAUGUAAGAAUGACUUAAUUCUUCUAAGUUCCUCUUUGACCAACACUGAGUCUUUCUUAUAAACAUUAUCUAAAAAUGCCAGGACAUAUCCUGUCAUAUAGCUGUAUCUCAAAAAACAUUUGUUGAUUGUUUUGUUAAAAUAAUUCUAACUAAACAUCUCAAUUAAAAUAGAUUUCUCUAUUACCCAAUACUAUUAAGAACUAAUUUUAUUCCUGGAGAUACCAUCUGUCUGGUAAUUUUCUUAAGAUUUAUGUUCAUUUCAGAAAUCUUGAUAAGGUGAAUGAUAUUUUAGACAGAAUACAA
rnacentral:lncRNA from 1 species